GAUGAACGCUAGCGACAGGCUUAACACAUGCAAGUCGAGGGGCAGCAUGAUUUGUAGCAAUACAGAUUGAUGGCGACCGGCGCACGGGUGAGUAACGCGUAUGCAACUUACCUAUCAGAGGGGGAUAGCCCGGCGAAAGUCGGAUUAAUACCCCAUAAAACAGGGGUCCCGCAUGGGAAUAUUUGUUAAAGAUUCAUCGCUGAUAGAUAGGCAUGCGUUCCAUUAGGCAGUUGGCGGGGUAACGGCCCACCAAACCGACGAUGGAUAGGGGUUCUGAGAGGAAGGUCCCCCACAUUGGUACUGAGACACGGACCAAACUCCUACGGGAGGCAGCAGUGAGGAAUAUUGGUCAAUGGCCGAGAGGCUGAACCAGCCAAGUCGCGUGAAGGAAGAAGGAUCUAUGGUUUGUAAACUUCUUUUAUAGGGGAAUAAAGUGGAGGACGUGUCCUU
rnacentral:rRNA from 1 species